rnacentral:rRNA from 1 species
UACGUAGGGGGCGAGCGUUGUCCGGAGUUACUGGGCGUAAAGGGCGUGCAGGCGGUGCAGUAAGUUUGGUGUGACAGUACCCGGCUCAACUGGGUAAGGCCUUCGAAAACUGCUGGACUUGAGGGCCAGAGAGGGACAUAGAAUUCCGGGUGGAGUGGUGAAAUGCGUAGAUAUCCGGAGGAAUACCAAAGGCGAAGGCAGUGUCCUGGCUGGCAUCUGACGCUGAGGCGCGAAAGCUAGGGGAGCGAACAGG